AUGCAAUUUGGGAAAAGUUAAUGAAUUUGAAUAAAAAAUCAUGAAUUUUGGGAAAAAUCAUCGAUUUUGAAGAAAAAGUUCAGGAAUCUUAAAACAUAUCGGUGCAUUUAGUAAAACAGAAAAGUAAAUAAAUAAUAAAAACGUCACUGACCAGAGAACUAGAAAGAAAAACCGCAACAGUAGAAAGAAAUAAAAGGAAAAGCAAAAUCAAGUUUGCACAACUGGGUAACAUAGCAGUGGUUGCUUCUGUUCUGUGCGACGGUUUACAGUUUGCACUCUAACCGGCGCCUGAAGCGCGGAAUAGGAAACACUGUAGGAUCCGCCCUCUAGGCCGAACAACAUUUUAGGCCCAACAACGACGCACUCGCCGCCCCACAGCACCAACCACCACACACACACACACACAGGCAGACAGCAUCUCCCUCCCUCGCCGCCGCCGCCGCAUCCCACUCCCAAUCGAAAACCCUCGCCGGCAGCUUAGGAAAAAAGCUCACCGUCGCCCACCAUCCACACGCGGCCAUGGACGAACCUUGCGUCGGGACUAGCAUGACCGAGUUUGCGCGUCCCGACGACGUGAAGUCCAUGACGAACUUCGAAAUCGGGCGCACCUGCCAAUGCAUCCCGGAUCCGCUCAUCUCCAUACCCGGCCCCCUCUCGCUCUCCAGCGCGCCGUGGAUCCCCCAUGGCGCCGACCGCAUCAGCUGCUUACCCGACGCCAUCCUCCGCAACAUCGUCGCUCGGCUCCCCCCCAAGGACGCCGCGCGCACCGCCGUCCUCGCCUCGCGCUGGCGCCCCCUCUGGCGCUCGGCGCCGCUCGUUCUCAUCGACACCCACCUGCUCCCGGACUACGGCGCGCGCGGGCCGCUCAUCGUCGGCGCCCGCUAUCCCCGCGCCGUCACCGAUGCAGUUUCUCGCAUCCUGGCGACGCACCCGGGGCCUUUCCGCUGCGUUCACCUCACCUGCUCGGUCAUGGACGAGCACCAAGACGAGCUGGAGAGCUGGCUCGACAUCCUCGCAGCCAAGGGCGUGCAGGAACUGGUCUUUGUGAACCGGCCGUGGCCGAUUGAUCUGGAUCUCCCUGCCACGAUUUUCCGGUGCACCUCUCUUGUCCGUCUGUAUCUUGGGUUUUGGCGGUUUCCAAACACCGACGGCGCCAUCCCACGCCCGGCUGCUUUUCCGAAUCUUCGAGAGCUCUUCCUUUCCUGCACUACCGUGAAUGAAUGGGACAUCGCCUUCAUGCUUGAAAAAAGCCCUGUACUAGAGCUACUUAUGAUUUCCGGGCGCCCAGCUUUCUCCACUCUUCACCUUGCAAGCGACAGUUUGCGACUGAAGAUGAGUGUCCCACUCUCCCAAACGUGAAGAUAUUUUCAAUAGGGGUGGAGUUUCAAGAUGAUCAAGACGUGGAGAUGAUUCCUAGCUUCAUUUCUAUUUUCCCCAACCUGGAAACUCUUCAUGUCCAUUCCGCAGAAGGACAUCAAAUUGGUGCAAGCGUCAAUUCCAAGUUCUGGCAGGAGGGCGAUCCCAUUAAAUGUAGCUUGCAGACAUUGAGGAAUGUGUUCUUCUACGAGUUCCGAGGGUCGAGAAGUGAGAUUGACUUCCUCAAGUUCAUCGCUGAGGGAGCUGGGAUGCUGGAGAAGUUAGUGGUUCGAGUGGCCGGUGAAUGCUCGUCUUCCUUGAGUGUGGCUACCAGUCUGAACUUUCUCAGGUUUCGAAGCACAGUUUGCCGAUGUGAAGUCCUUCCGUGCCCAGGCUUGAGAGUGAGAACGCCACGGUACAAGUACAAAGCUUCCUAUGAUCUAUCUCUUAAGGACCCUUUGGAGAUGCCGUACGUAGUGGUACCACAAAUGUUUCGUUAAAGUGUUCGAGUUAGUCAGUAGCAGAUCGGUGAAGACUAGUAGCACUCCAACUUUUUGUUCUGAGUGUGUUUCUCAGUGACUUUUAUAUUGUAUGCUUAGCCUAUGGAUUCUUGCACAAUUUUGCACCAUCUUGAAUUCUGCAAGACUUGAGGCUUGUGCGGGAUCAUCCGAAUUGUAUUGUAUAUGAACUUGACAGAAAUGCUCAUUAUCAUCUGCAGUAUUUUAACAUCUAA